CGUGGAGACAGGUGGUGCAUGGCUGUCGUCAGCUCGUGUCGUGAGGUGUUGGGUUAAGUCCCGCAACGAGCGCAACCCUCACCCCUUGUUGCCAUCAGGUCAUGCUGGGCACUCUAGGGGAACUGCCCCGGUCAACGGGGAGGAAGGUGGGGACGACGUCAAGUCAUCAUGCCCCUUACGUCCUGGGCUACACACGUGCUACAAUGGCCGGUACAAAGGGAUGCAAGACCGUGAGGUGGAGCUAAACCCAAAAAGCCGGUCUAAGUUCAGAUUGGAGUCUGCAACUCGACUCCAUGAAGGAGGAAUCGCUAGUAAUCGCGUAUCAGCACGACGCGGUGAAUACGUUCCCGGGCCUUGUACACACCGCCCGUCACACCACGAAAGCCUGCUGUACUCGAAGUCGCUGAG
rnacentral:rRNA from 1 species